UACGAAGGGUGCAAGCGUUACUCGGAAUUACUGGGCGUAAAGCGUGCGUAGGUGGUUCGUUAAGUCUGUCGUGAAAGCCCCGGGCUCAACCUGGGAAUGGCGAUGGAUACUGGCGAGCUAGAGUGCGGUAGAGGAGAGUGGAAUUCCCGGUGUAGCAGUUAAAUGCGUAGAUAUCGGGAGGAACACCUGUGGCGAAGGCGGCCCCCUGGUUGGAUACUGACGCUGAGACGCGAAAGCGUGGGGAGCAAACAGG
rnacentral:rRNA from 1 species